UCAGUGUAUCAAAGGGACACCUGCACCCCCAUGCUUAUUGCAGCAAUAUUCACAAUAGCCUUGUAGUUUUAGCGCUUAGAGGCAUUUAAACGGCCUCUCCCCUCCAGACUACUUCACUGUAGUUUAUCCCUGACCCUCCACAAUGUGAUUACCAACCGCUAGGAUGAGUUGCAUCUUAUUAUAAAGUAGCAAAUUACAAGAUUGUAACAUUAGACUUUUUAAGAAAAUCCAGUUCAGCUUUUAUACUAAUCCAUCUUAAUUUCUAGGUUACUCAGAAUUCCAGGUAUUCUGAUUUGGACUCACAUCUCGUAUUGUAUUGCCUGUAUUUUAACUGGGAAGUUACUGCCAACAGCAUCUCUCUCUAUUAAAUGUAGAGGAAUUGACAAAAGAGGGGAAAGAAAAGUUGUUAGGUAAUAGAACUGCUUCAGAAAUAGGGCUAUUCAUGUUUAAAGUGUUUCUCCUUCGUUUUUCAGGGCAUCUCAUUGGGAGAUAUUCCUCUUCCAGGCAGUAUCAGUGAUGGCAUGAAUUCUUCAGCACAUUAUCAUGUAAACUUCAGCCAGGCUAUAAGUCAGGAUGUGAAUCUUCAUGAGGCCAUCUUGCUUUGUCCCAACAAUACAUUUAGAAGAGAUCCAACAGCAAGGACUUCACAGUCACAAGAACCAUUUCUGCAGUUAAAUUCUCAUACCACCAAUCCUGAGCAAACCCUUCCUGGAACUAAUUUGACAGGAUUUCUUUCACCGGUUGACAAUCAUAUGAGGAAUCUAACAAGCCAAGACCUACUGUAUGACCUUGACAUAAAUAUAUUUGAUGAGAUAAACUUAAUGUCAUUGGCCACAGAAGACAACUUUGAUCCAAUCGAUGUUUCUCAGCUUUUUGAUGAACCAGAUUCUGAUUCUGGCCUUUCUUUAGAUUCAAGUCACAAUAGUACCUCUGUCAUCAAGUCUAAUUCCUCUCACUCUGUGUGUGAUGAUGGUGCUAUAGGUUAUUGUACUGACCAUGAAUCUAGUUCCCAUCAUGACUUAGAAGGUGCUGUAGGCGGCUACCACCCAGAACCCAGUAAGCUUUGUCACUUGGAUCAAAGUGAUUCUGAUUUCCAUGGAGAUCUUACAUUUCAACACGUAUUUCAUAACCACACUUACCACUUACAGCCAAGUGCACCAGAAUCUACUUCUGAACCUUUUCCUUGGCCUGGGAAGUCACAGAAGAUAAGGAGUAGAUACCCUGAAGACACAGACAGAAACUUGAGCCGUGAUGAACAGCGUGCUAAAGCUUUGCAUAUCCCUUUUUCUGUAGAUGAAAUUGUCGGCAUGCCUGUUGAUUCUUUCAAUAGCAUGUUAAGUAGAUAUUAUCUGACAGACCUACAAGUCUCACUUAUCCGUGACAUCAGACGAAGAGGGAAAAAUAAAGUUGCUGCGCAGAACUGUCGUAAACGCAAAUUGGACAUAAUUUUGAAUUUAGAAGAUGAUGUAUGUAACUUGCAAGCAAAGAAGGAAACUCUUAAGAGAGAGCAAGCACAAUGUAACAAAGCUAUUAACAUAAUGAAACAGAAACUGCAUGACCUUUAUCAUGAUAUUUUUAGUAGAUUAAGAGAUGACCAAGGUAGGCCAGUCAAUCCCAACCACUAUGCUCUCCAGUGUACCCAUGAUGGAAGUAUCUUGAUAGUACCCAAAGAACUGGUGGCUUCAGGCCACAAAAAGGAAGCCCGAAAGAGAAAGUGAGAAGAAACUGAAGAUGGACUCUAUUAUGUGAAGUAGUAAUGUUCAGAAACUGAUUAUUUGGAUCAGAAGCAUUGAAACUGCUUCAAGAAUUGUAUCUUUAAGUACUGCUACUUGAAUAACUCAGUUAACGCUCUAUUUUGAAGCUUACAUGGACAAAUGUUUAGGACUUCAAGAUCACACUUGUGGGCAAUCUGGGGGAGCCACAACUUUUCAUGAAGUGCAUUGUAUACAAAAUUCAUAGUUAUGUCCAAAGAAUAGGUUAAACAUGAAAACCCAGUAAGACUUUCCAUCUUGGCAGCCAUCCUUUUUAAGAGUAAGUUGGUUACUUCAAAAAGAGCAAACACUGGGGAUCAAUUUUAAGAGGUAUUUCAGUUUUAAAUGCAAAAUAGCCUUAUUUUCAUUUAGUUUCUUAGCACUAUAGUGAGCUUUUCAAACACUAUUUUAAUCUUUAUAUUUAACUUAUAAGUUUUGCUUUCUAUGGAAAUAAAUUUUGUAUUUGUAUUAAAAAUUAACUUUUCCCUUUUAUACAGAA
rnacentral:sRNA from 1 species